UUAACUGAAGCUAAAAAGAAGCAUUUCACUGUUAAUGAAAAAAAUGAUUAAAUCCAGUUAAA
rnacentral:tRNA from 1 species